UCCCUGAGCUGCUAUGUAGCGGCACAGGCUGAGGAGGGAGCGAGCUGCGCCUUACACACAGCAGAUGUAAGGCAAGAGGGUCGGCGUUAAGCCUCACGCGGAGCAGGAGCCAGCGCCGGCCUCUCGUCGCCCACAUGCAGGAGCCAAUCCACGUGGUGGAGCGGAGCGGAGCGGAGCGGUCUUCCCUCACAGGUCAUGUUUUCCGGACCGUCCAUCGGUUGUGUUGCUCUUCUCUGGACUUUCUCCAAUUUGUCCACAUCCUUCCUGAAAUGUGGCGCACAGAACUGGACACAGUUGAGGCCUAAUCAGCGCGGAGUAGAGGGGAAGAAUUACUUCUUGUGUCUUGCUUACAAUACGCCUGCUAAUACAUCCCAGAAUGAUGUUUGCUUUUUUUUGCAACAGCGUUACACAUUGGACUCAUAUUUAACUUGUGAUCCACUAUGACCCCCAGAUCCCUUCCCACAGUACUCUUUCCCAGGCAGGCAUUUCCCAUUUUGUCUGUGUGCAACUUCCUAAGUGGAGUACUUUGCAUUUGUCUCAAUUGAAUUUCAUCCUGUUUACUUCAAACCAUUUCUCCAGUUUGUCCAGAUCAUUUUGAAUUUUAAUCCUAUCUUCCAAAACACUUGCAACCCCUCCCAGCUUGGUAUCAUCCACAAACUUUGUGUGUACUCUCUAUGCCAUUACCUAAAUCAUUGAUGAAGAUAUUGAACAGAUGAUACUUGCUUCAGAGUAGCAGCCGUGUUAGUCUGUAUUUGCAAAAAGAAAAGGAGUACUUGUAGCACCUUAGAGACUAACAAUUUUAUUUGAGCAUAAGCUUUCGUGAGCUACAGCUCACUUCAUCGGAUGCAUUCAGAUAUUUGCUUGUCAUUAGCAGUGUUAAGAAGUCAAUUUCAUUAUAUACUCCAUGCUGAUCUGGCUGGGCCGCAAAGGGAUAGAGAGUAUUUAAGAACUGCUUUGAAGUCUUUGGAAGUACUUUAAGGGCUUGGUGACUCUUACAGUGGAGCAGCGGCACUGGUGCUGCUGCAGCGCUGUAGCAAUUAGUGAAGAUGCUACCUCUGCAGAAGUUAACCCACCUCUGUCAGGGUUCCCUCCCCACUCUGAGCUCUAGGGAACAGAUGUGGGGA